rnacentral:rRNA from 1 species
UUGAUCUCAAAUCAGGUAGGACUACCCGCUGAACUUAAGCAUAUCAAUAAGCGGAGGAAAAGAAACUAACAAGGAUUCCCCUAGUAACUGCGAGUGAAGCGGGAAGAGCUCAAAUUUAAAAUCUGGCGUGCCUCUGGCCGUCCGAGUUGUAGUCUGGAGAAGCGUUUUCCGUGUUGGACCGUGUAUAAGUCUCUUGGAACAGGGCGUCAUAGAGGGUGAGAAUCCCGUCUUUGACACGGACUACCAAUGCUUUGUGAUGCGCUCUCAAAGAGUCGAGUUGUUUGGGAAUGCAGCUCAAAAUGGGUGGUAAAUUCCAUCUAAAGCUAAAUAUAGGCGAGAGACCGAUAGCGAACAAGUACCGUGAGGGAAAGAUGAAAAGCACUUUGGAAAGAGAGUUAAACAGUACGUGAAAUUGCUGAAAGGGAA